UACGUAGGGUGCAAGCGUUUGUCCGGAAUUAUUGGGCGUAAAGAGCUCGUAGGCGGUUUGUCGCGUCUGCUGUGAAAACUCGGGGCUUAACCCCGGGCCUGCAGUGGGUACGGGCAGACUAGAGUGCGGUAGGGGUGACUGGAAUUCCUGGUGUAGCGGUGGAAUGCGCAGAUAUCAGGAGGAACACCGAUGGCGAAGGCAGGUCACUGGGCCGCAACUGACGCUGAGGAGCGAAAGCAUGGGGAGCGAACAGG
rnacentral:rRNA from 1 species